rnacentral:misc_RNA from 1 species
UCUCCGUAGGUGAACCUGCGGAGGGAUCAUUACAGAGUUCAUGCCCUACCGGGUAGAUCUCCCACCCUAUGUUAUUAUUACUUUGCUGCUUUGGCGGGCCGUUAGGCUCCGGCCCGACUACCGGCCCCGGCUGGUAAGCGCCCGCCAGAGGACCCAAAACCCUAAAUAUUAGUGUCGUCUGAGUACUAUAUAAUAGUUAAAACUUUCAACAACGGAUCUCUUGGUUCUC